rnacentral:lncRNA from 1 species
GAUAAUGGCCAAAAACAGCAGAGAAGCAUAAAAUUUUACUGUUCCAUUGAGGAUCUGGAGAAAAACAAGGGGUUGUCAAAGAUAAAACACUCAGGAAAGGGGUUGAAACUUAGCCACAAAAGUUGGAUGUUGAGAUCAGCUGGUUCAAAUUGAUGUUUGAGAUUGGUUUCUUAUAUAUAAUGCUUCAUUUCUGGGUAUUGCAAGCCGUUGAGCAUAAAAAAUGACUUUAAUUUGAAUUUGGGCUGGUUUUCAAGAGUUUUCCGGUUCAAUUAUGGUUGUGCUUUGGUCGUUGAGUAUUGUUUGGUUUUCUGUUGAUUUCAACUUGAUUUAAGCUGUUUUACCUGUUAAUUUUGCAACUAACAUUAGGCUACUGCUGCUAAAUCCUCGUUCUUCUUACCCUUUUUGCAUUGCCAGGUACAUUCUUUGAAACUCUGUUGGAUGUAUAUAUUUCAAUCAAGAUGAAAUGAAGUUUGAAACCUUGGCAGCUGAAUUUACUUUGUUUAGUUCCAAUUUUCUUUGUAGUGUUCAUAUGAUAGGUCAGUUAGUUGAAGUCUAGCCACUCUUAGUUAAUUAUCUAAAUUCGUUAGUUAUAGUUAAACUUUGAACACUAUCGAUAUUAUAAAUUUGAAAUUAUUAAGCAAU